rnacentral:rRNA from 1 species
GACGAACGCUGGCGGCGUGCUUAACACAUGCAAGUCGAGCGGUAAGGCCCUUUCGGGGGUACACGAGCGGCGAACGGGUGAGUAACACGUGGGUGACCUGCCCUCAGCUCUGGGAUAAGCCUGGGAAACCGGGUCUAAUACUGGAUAUGACUCCAUGACGCAUGUUGUGGGGUGGAAAGCCUUGUGCGGCUGAGGAUGGGCCCGCGGCCUAUCAGCUUGUUGGUGGGGUGANGGCCUACCAAGGCGACGACGGGUAGCCGGCCUGAGGGGCGACCGGCCACACUGGGACUGAGACACGGCCCAGACUCCUACGGGAGGCAGCAGUGGGGAAUCUUGCGCAAUGGGCGAAAGCCUGACGCAGCGACGCCGCGUGAGGGAUGACGGCCU